CUCACUGGUCGAGUCGGCCUGCGCGGAAGAUGUAACGGGGCUAAACCAUGCACCGAAGCUGCGGCAGCGAACGUAUCACUUAAAGCGAUUCAGCGGGUUACGAUUGACGGAGCGAAGCGACGUCAAAGCGUAUACAAAGUCGAGUCGGUUUAAGGAUACGUUCGUUGGGUAGGGGAGCGUUCUGUAAGCCCGUGAAGGUGGCCUGUGAGGGUUGCUGGAGGUAUCAGAAGUGCGAAUGCUGACAUAAGUAACGAUAAAGCGGGUGAAAAGCCCGCUCGCCGG
rnacentral:rRNA from 1 species